UACGGAGGGGGCUAGCGUUGUUCGGAAUUACUGGGCGUAAAGCGCAUGUAGGCGGCUUUGUAAGUUAGAGGUGAAAGCCCAGGGCUUAACCCUGGAAUUGCCUUUAAGACUGCAUCGCUAGAAUCGUGGAGAGGUGAGUGGAAUUCCGAGUGUAGAGGUGAAAUUCGUAGAUAUUCGGAAGAACACCAGUGGCGAAGGCGGCCCGCUGGGCAGUGGCUGACGCUGAAGCGCGACAGCGGUGGGGAGCAAACAGG
rnacentral:rRNA from 1 species